rnacentral:rRNA from 1 species
UACGUAGGGUGCAAGCGUUGUCCGGAAUUAUUGGGCGUAAAGAGCUCGUAGGCGGUUUGUCGCGUCUGCUGUGAAAACCUGAGGCUCAACCUCAGACCUGCAGUGGGUACGGGCAAGCUAGAGUGCGGUAGGGGAGAUGAGAAUUCCUGGUGUAGCGGUGGAAAUGCGCAGAUAUCAGGGAGGAACACCGAUGGCGAAGGCACAUCUCUGGGCCGUAACUG